GACGAACGCUGGCGGCGUGCUUAACACAUGCAAGUCGAACGGUGAAGCGCCUUCCUUUUUGGUGGGUGUGGAUGAGUGGCGAACGGGUGAGUAACACGUGAGUAACCUGCCCCCUUCUUCUGGAUAACCGCAUGAAAGUGUGGCUAAUACGGGAUAUUCUGGGUCUGUCGCAUGAUGGGUCUGGGAAAGAUUUUGUUUCGGUGGGGGAUGGGCUCGCGGCCUAUCAGCUUGUUGGUGGGGUGAUGGCCUACCGAGGCGGUGACGGGUAGCCGGCCUGAGAGGGUGGGCGGCCAAAGUGGGACUGAGGCACGGCCCAGACUCCUACGGGAGGCAGCAGGGGGGAAUAUUGCACGGUGGGCAGAAGCCUGAUGCAGCGACGCCGCGUGAGGGAUGGAGGCCUUCGGGUUGUGAACCUCUUUCGCCAGUGAAGCAGGCCUGCCUCGUUUGUGGGUGGGUUGACGGUAGCUGGAGAAGAAGCACCGGCUAACUACGUG
rnacentral:rRNA from 1 species